GCUGCUGAAUGCUGAGUUGAGCCCAGGAGGAGGAUGAAGGAGCCUUUCAAGGGAGAAUGUCAUUCAAACAGAACCUGUGAGGAUGCAUGGGCCUGUGAAGGAGCCGGCUUGCUUGAGGCUGCCUUGGUGGUUUGAGCACACUCUGCUCCUGGUGUUGGAGAAUUAGUGCCCUCUGGGAACAGCCAUCGUCCAGUGACUUACUAGAGGCAGUUUGUAAAUACCAUGGCUCUUUCGCCCCUACGAGGGAUAACUUGGGGAUACUCUGAGCCCCAGAGUUUCCUGGGGAUAUUAAACUCCAGUUACCCCCUAAUAAUAACUUGCUUUUUACUGGUUAUUUUUGUUUCCCUGUCUCAUUCUCAACUCCCCUACUGGUGUUUUCUAGGAUUCUGUUUUAAAUAAAUUACUUGCACUCAAAUUCUUGUCUCAAGGUCUGCUUCUUGAGAAGCGAUGGCGCUGUGUGACCCUAUGGAACAAGCCAGAGAUGGCUGACUGGUUUUUCAGCAAUUCUGUCUGGUUAAAAUUACCUGCACCAGAACUGAGUUCAUAAACUUGAUGUCUUUUUUUUUUUUUCCUGGACUCGAUUUCCUGAUGGCGCAGAGUGCGAUAAACUCAUAUGCAUUCCUAGACAGGGUAUAGCAAAAGGAGCCUGUUUCCAUGCAUCAUGAGAUAACGUAGAUAUCAUCAGAAGGCAUUUGCUAGGAUCUGAAGCAAUAGUAAACCCUGUCUUGCCUUCAUUACUGCAUCUGCCAAGCUUUCUUUGAUAAAAAAUGACUCUAGAAGUGAAAAUAUUAGUGUAUAACUACAUCUCAGCUGACUGAAAAAGAGGUGCUUGUAUUUGAAUUACAUAAAGGAUGCAAAUUCUGUGACAAAAAUGGUUCUGUUAGGGAACGAAGAAGGACUUUUUAAUGCCUUUGCAUCUGAGACAUUAUUUUUAUGUGUUGCUUUUUUUUUAUUUCUAGCACAAGCAAUUUUCAUGUCAAGGACCCUAUGUUAGGACAGGUUCAAAAGUGAAGGGUGUUCAGUUUUGGCUGGGAAGAGAUGUGAUCAAAGAUUGUAAAAUCAUCGUGCCAGUGUGUUCACAUAAAUUAAUCUUCCCCAAGACACCCUGAGAUAAAUAGCAUUACUAGGCUGGGCGCGGUGGCUCAGGCCUGUAAUCUCAGCACUUUGGGAGGCCGAGGCGGGGCGGAUCAUGAGGUCAGGAGAU
rnacentral:lncRNA from 1 species